AACAGACAAUUACAGAGUUAAAUGGUAAAAACAUCCUGCUGGAGACGAUGCUCGAAGACGCCAAUAGACAAGUGAAAUUUUAUGAGAGCAAGGAGAAAGGAGUCACUGAAGAAAGAGAUGCCCUACUUGCCACAGUGAACAAGCUGCAGGAGGCUUUUCAGGAGCAGUGCAACCUCAGAGUCGAGAAUGAGACGCUGAAGAGCAACAUGACAAUCUUGCAGCAACAGAGUAUCAGAGCAGCAGAGGUAA